rnacentral:tRNA from 1 species
GGAGGAUUCGCCUAGAGGCCUAUGGCGCCGCACUGCUAAUGCGGUUAGGGGGCAACCCCUUCAUGGGUUCAAAUCCCAUAUCCUCCG